GUGUUCAAAUCUGGACUUUUACGUGACCUGUGCGAAUGUUGUGUGUUGGCAACAAACCUCGAUCUAAAACGUGCUGUGGGCCAAGCAGAAAUGCCUGCUGGCUGGCUCUGGCUAGUCUGCCCCUCUGCUGUUGUGAAAUGGGGCAGAGCUGUCAUUCUGGGUGUUUGGAGAUGUGCACCCUGACUCCCCUGGCCCUCGCCCCAAACUAAUUUUGGGAUGCCCGCAUCAGGAAACUACGAGGGCUCAUGCUGAGAGUUGAACACAGAGCCCGUCCGAGAGCAAAGCUUUAGCCUAAGCUGUCCUCAGGGAGCGGGGGGGUGCGUAGGCUUGCUUUUCCUCCAGGCAGGGACACAGACCCCUGUUGUUUCACUGAGUACUAUCCUGUGGAAGGCCCCUCUGGACCGGGCCUCUGGGGAGCCUGGGGCACGGAGGGCAGGCAGUGGUCUUCCUGGGUCAGGCACGUUAUGCGAGCAGGCGACAGAUGGAAUGUCAAGGAUGGUUUCUAGGUUUCUGGUUUGCUCGGUGGAGGAUGUGGUGCCUCCCCAGAGAGAGAAGGCUAGAGAAUCUCUGGUUUUGGGGGGAAGAUCCUGACAUCUCCAGAUUCUGCCCUGUCUUCCUAGGUUGGUAAUGGGGGGAGGGCAGGGGGAGGACAGCUUUGGGCCUCAGGUGUGGCAUUGUGAGUAUGGCCAUGUGUAGCCCCAGGUGGGGAGCAUGUUCUGGGCUCAGUGGGGCUCCCCACAGACAGCCUCGAAAUGUCUGCCAGCUCAGGAGUUUCACUCAUACGGGCCCCGGGGUCACUGGGGCUUCUGGAAUCCUCUAGUGGCAUGGAAAGGGCUCAGGGCUCCGCUCUGUACUUUAGAAUGUGACCUUGGGCAAUGAGGUCACCUCCUGGGGGUCAGUCCCUUGUUGGUAGAAGAGUCCGCCUGGUUCAUCUUCAGCGUCCAAGCAGCCUGCAAGUCCUCUGACAAUCGCUCUGCUGCCGGCUGCCACCGUAGCUCAGUCUGGCCCAUCUUUCGGAGCAAGGAUGGGACUUCACCACGGACGCCGCCGUGUCCCGCAAGGCACAAGGUCUCGUUUCUGCAUUAGGAUCCCCCUGACCAGAGAACACCAUGUCAGCCUGAGACGGCUCCUUGCCCACAGGCCAGUGGAGACAGAGACAGAGGCCGGGCCCUAACCCAGCCCACGACCCAGCCCGUCCUUUGUCGUCCUGCCCAGAGUAGCCCUGGCGUCUGCAGUGGGCCUCCAUGUACCUCAUCCACUGUCACCAGCAAGCGGCAUCUGUCACCGGAAACCGGUGUUACUCCAAGGGGCCCUUGAAUGUGAACAGUCUAGUAGCGGCUUGUGGAGCCUGAGGGUGUGGAUGUGUGAGGAGGCAGGAGUGCAAGACACACGCAUCUCAGAGCUUCUGCUGAUGCUUCCCUGGAACUGAGGGGCAGGCCUGGAGGAAAGGGCCCGGCCUGUGGGUUAGCCCAGCAAGCGAGUGAGCAAGUGAGUCUUUGAAGGUGGAAAGAGAAGCAGGGAGCAGGGUCGGGAUGGGGGGAGAAAAAUGUCUCCGACACCGGUUUUCUCUGGAGGUGGGCUGGAGGGGAUGGGACUGGAAAGUGAGAAAGCUGGAAGCUUUGACAGGCAGCAGAUGUCAGAGCCGCUGACAGUGAUAGAGCCCCCCGGCCCCCCAUACGUCAGCAGCCUUGCUCCACGCCUGUGGGCCUUGCGCGGGCAUCCUUAGGGGGGGGGCACGGAGGAAAGGGGUGGAUUCCAGGGUUUGAGCCUGUCCAUGUGGAAAUGAGGCCCUGAACGUGCGCAGGGAUGCUCUCUGCCCUCUGAUCUCUUCAGCCGAAGAGACCCUCAGAGGCAAAGACAGGUGGGGGCAAAGGGUAAGUGAUGGUGUUUGCGCCAGUUCUUCUAGAAUCUCAAAGGGCAGGCACCUCUGUGUGUGCACCUGUAUCUCAGAUUCCCAGGACCCUGGCUUGCUGCCCAUGUUGAGACCUUUGAACAGUUUCUUGCUCAUGAGCCCCUUCUCCAGAGGGUGGAGGGAGCGGGCAGUUACUGGGGGGGCAGGGCACCUGGGGAGGGAGGUGCGGGUGCUGGCCGGGCCUGUGCGGCUCUGCAGCUCUGCCUCCUUGUGGUCAGGGUCCCCGGGGCCCAGCCCGCACCCUCGGCUCCAAAGCUCUGUGGUGCUGCGCGUGCAGACACGUUCCUGGGACCGGGGCCACCAUGUGUAAAGGGGCAGAAAGGACUCCUGGUCUCUGCGCUCACCUCCCCUCUUCCUGGGCUGUCACUUAGGGUCUCUUUAGGGUCUGAGGGAUUGGAAGCCUCCCCGCUCCCCGAUGUUGCCUGUGCUGAUUCUGCCAAAGCUAAAUGUGGGUUAGAAGGUGGUGGAGACUCAUGGGGGCCUGACUCCCGUUCCUUCUGGCUGUUGUCAGAGGCUGUGCUCAUCCAAGUCACAACCCCGCCUCUUACCCUGAGGGCUCCACCCCCUCCCUCAGGUGGGGGGUCCUUCCUGGGGGAGCGGAGUGGGUGGAGAACCCUCUUUCUCCUUCUACCCUGUAACCUCCUUGCUUGUUGGGAUCCAACCUCAAGGAUUUGCCUCCCGCAGGAGUCAAGUUGAGGCACGUGCUCGGUCUCCGGGCCACGAGCUUCCCACCUUUCCGUUCUUUUAGUGUUUCCCGGGUUAUAACCCAUUUGUGCUAAUGGUGGGCAACACGGACGGUCGAGGGGAGCAUAAAGUAGGCGGUCUCAGUGGCUUGAGGUGAGCACUUAGAGAAACUGACCCCUGCUGCCCAUGUGGAACACCCCCCACGUUCGAGCUUCUGCCAGUUUGGGGCCCCCUUUGCUGGUAGUGGCAGUUUCCUGCCCCUUGUCACAUUCCAUCUUCUCGCACAGCCUUCUGGAGCACAUUGCUGGUGCUGGUUUCUCCGUCCCGCAGCUGGGGAGCUGAAGCAGAAAGGUGAGACUUGUCCCGAGGUGUACCCUGCAUCGUCCUAGGAGGUGGCCGGGAUGUCCCUAACCCAGGCCUCCUGGGCCCCGCCCCCCCCGGUGCCUGAGCUGGGGGCUGGGGGCCCCUCUGCUGGGAGCCCACUCGUCCACGGGCGGUCUGCCCACAUGGUGGGCACCCCCUCCAAGGCUCCUGGCCGCACACAGUCUUCCUUGAGAGGCUGGUGUCGCCCACCUCCCUGGGGACUUUGCAGUGCGAGUGUGACAUGUUCCCGGCUUGGGGGGGGGGACUGAGGAGGGGGCAGAUUUCAAUGGUGUGCCUCCUGGAAACCACAUCAAAUGGGGUAGCUAGGAAUUAAUAAAUAAAUUUGGGAGACAAGUCAAUUAUCCUCCCCCUGUCCCGCGUCCCUGGGGGCAAACAGCAGCCUGUGGUUUUCAGCCCGAACACGCCUUCCCGGGGGGCAGGCCCAGCGAGCCAGGCAGCUGGCUUCUGUCAGAUUAGCGGGGCGAGAUGUGACAGGCCUCUGUCCUCUGGGGAAAUGGCUCCCUUCCUGGGAGGUGGUGAGGACAUUCCCAGGUUGCUGUGUUCCUGCCCUCUCCCCGCACCCCUCCUUGUCUCCCUCCCCUCGUGGGUGUCUAUCACAGCCCCUCCCACAGUCUCUGGCCCAGUUAGUCACAGGCCCAGAGUCCCACAGUGACAGCUGUCAGGUGUGGUUGCCAUGGCUUCGGGAGCCAUCUGCAAAAUGCAUGUACGGGCAGGAGGGUUGCCUUCUUAGUCUCUUCCAGACACAUGGGCAGUAUUGUUAUUUCAAAGACCAGACUACUUGUUGCCUCAGAAAACAUUUAUUCAGUCAGCAAAUAUUUUUAAAUGCCCUGCUUUGUGGAAAUUUUUGCUAGGUUGUGGAGAUACAGAGAAAGGAGACACACUCUUGCCCUCUAGGAGCUUAGAGUUGCGUGGGGAGGUCAGACCCUGCACAGACCAUCCACCAUACAGGGCACUUUAGGAUGAAACGUGGGGGUGCCUAGCCCAGCCCCGGGGUGGGGGGGUUCCUGAGUAGAUGCCACCUGGGCUACCUCCUGAAGGAUGAGUUAUCAUCCAGGAGGGAGGAUAUAGAGUGCUGUUCCAGAUGGAGGGAACAGCAUUUGCAAAGUCUCUGAGCCGGGGGAGGGCUGUGAGCUGCAUUGCAGGGUGUGGGGGGAACAGCGGGAAGGGUCCAGUGGAAUCUGACUCAGGGGCGGUCUUGAGCUAUACCUAUUUGUGAACAAGGUUGCAUAGGGCGGGGAGGGAUGGCAUGUAAACUUUUUCUUUUGGUCUUUUAAAAGUGAUUGGGUUACGGAUUCUUUCCAACUUUCUGGGUGUGUUGGGCAAGUGGGGUGCUGGGUUUUUUUUCUGUUUAGUAACAACACACAACUCCAGAUAAAGGAAUGGUCCCCAAAAUACCAGAGCAGCAUCUUGAAAAAAUGAGUCCCUUUCUGACAUAUACUGCCCUUGAAUGUUCUAUGGUUGUGUUAUGGAGGCAUGUUUUUUUAGAUGAAGGAUUCUCAAGUUUUAGUAUGCACGAUGAUCACUCAGGAAAUUUAUUAAAAGUGUGGGUGUUUGAGAUAUGACUCAGGGAGGGCUCAGCGGUGUGCAUUUUUAAUAAAGUCCCGUGGUAAAUCUGAUGCAGUCAGAAGAACAUGCUUUGAAAAACGCAUUCCUAGAAUCUCAAGUUUUCGUCCUGGGGAAUUUGCUUGCAAUUCAGGAGGCUGCCACUAGAUGGCAGUAGUGCUUUGCGAUGGAUCUAGGCAAAGACCAUUUUUUUUUUCCAUCGCGGCUGUUGCUGGAGACACGGUUCUUUACUGCAAGAACGUAUCAACAACAGAUAAUUAUUCUAGAUGAUUUCUAGGACUAUUGGUCAUGAAAUCCGAACUUUCAGAGCUUAGUUUUACAUUUAAAUAGACCCUUCAAACAUUUGAGCUGACCUUUCGAAUACCGUGGCCACUGGCCACAUGUGGCUUUGAGCACCUGAAAUGUGGUUAGUCUGAACCAGGAUGUGCCGAAAAUGUAAGAAACACACCG